rnacentral:rRNA from 1 species
UACGUAGGGUGCAAGCGUUAAUCGGAAUUACUGGGCGUAAAGCGUGCGCAGGCGGUUAUGUAAGACAGUUGUGAAAUCCCCGGGCUCAACCUGGGAACUGCAUCUGUGACUGCAUAGCUAGAGUACGGUAGAGGGGGAUGGAAUUCCGCGUGUAGCAGUGAAAUACGUAGAUAUCUGGAGGAAUACCGGUGGCGAAGGCGGCAUCCUGGACCGACAUUGACGCUGAGGAGGCGAAAA